rnacentral:lncRNA from 1 species
GUUUCUGACCCCAUCUGUGACCCAUCAGUUGAGACUUUCCACACAGAAUAGAUGAAAAGUCAAAGGAUGGCCUCCUGGGUGACAGGUCAGUGGAUCAGUUGGGUGUUUGGCACAACCUGACCAAUGAAGCAGGAGAUUUUGAGCAGCUUCCUGAACAGCCCGGUUUCUAAGUUUAUGCCGGAAAGCCUGCUAUGAGUAAAUAUCACACAGAUCAGUGUGUGCUGCACACACACAAAUACAUUCAUAGCCAUAACCACUCAUAAAAUGAAAAACAAAACAAACAUAAUAAACAUUAUUUUUUAUCUUGGUAUUCUGGGAUUGGAAUUUUAAUAGCGGCAGCCUUGAAAUAUA